AUGGAACAACCCCGCUGCCUUGGAGCUCGCCCCGCCUCCGGCCGGCCACCCAUCCGUCGGCCUCGUGCUCCUCCACCACGAUCCGUCCGCCCCACUGCUGGAUCCACGCCGGAGCAGCCGGGUCCGCCGCCCAGACCACCAACCAAGAGCCGCCUCUUGCCUGUCCUACGGUCGGGAGGAGGACGACCGAGAGGAGCGGCCAUUGAUCCGUCACCUGGGCCGCCUUGGAGCACGCCCUGCCUCCGGCCCGCCACCUCUCCGUCAGCCUCGCGCUCCUCCGACAUGAUCCGUCUGCCCCGCCGCUGGAUCCGCCGCCCAGACCACCAACCAAGCGUCGGCCCUUGCCUUUCAUACGAAACUAAGCUACAACAUCCAGCUACGCUAGCCCACUUAUCUGACUAUGUACAACUUACACACUAG
rnacentral:rRNA from 1 species